rnacentral:lncRNA from 1 species
UGAAUUGAAACCUGUUAAUAGUUUUCCCUUCUCUAGGCUAAAACUCCUUAAUUAAUGGUUAAACAGUGUCUUUGGGAAGGCAUCAUUACAUACAAGAAAUUCAUUUGCUUAAUGGAAUCUGUAUUCUAGCACUUGAAAAUGCAAGAUGCUUGACCUUGAUUCUAUAGGACUAGCUAUAUUAACUCCCAACCAACCAUAUUCUGACCAUACCUUCAUCUAAAAUGAAGGUGUCUUGUAUUUUUUAAAACUGCUUGUUAUGUCCAUAAUUAUGCUCGUUUCUCUAGGUUAUGCUGCAGCUACUUGGUUAGAGUUCCAUGUUGCAUUUUUUUUUUUU